rnacentral:lncRNA from 1 species
GAAUCCGGGAUCGAUUGUAGUGGAUGAAAGACACUCCCCAUACUUGUUCUGUUAAGGUACCCCGGAAGUUGAUGCAACCAUGAGAAAGUAAAAGUCGGACACAAUUUGGUGACACUGGACCGAGAGAGCGGUAUGGUAGAACCGAAUUGGAAAAGAAACCACAUGACACUAGGAGGCUUAAGAGCUUGUAAGUUUAGACAACAUGGUGAGAAUACAAAGGCCAAACACUAAAUAUCAUCAUGAGAGUUCAUCCAAGUAUGACUCUAUCACUCUGACUUUACGUAUGUUCUUUUGACACUUCACAGCAUGACAACACACACUGAGGUAAGUUUUUUAUUUAGCCCAGAGUCUUUAUAGCCAUCCCUAUUUGUAUGUUUACCCUUCGUGAACCCCGUUGAGCCUUAGCCUUUUUGUUCGUAAUAAACCCCAUAUUAACCAUUAAUCAUUCAUUUCUUCCAUUAAUCGGCAUGAUUGUUGUAAGUUACAAAAUGUGCAAAAAGCUAAGUUUGGGGUGGUAAUCUUUAAAGAAAGGGCGAGUGCAUAAGAAGAGAUCUAAAAGUAAUGCAAAAAGAAGAGACGUGUGUAUGUCCUAAUAAAAAAAAAAGAGAAAGAAAAGAAAAAGAAAAAAAAAGAGAAAUGCACUUGCCGAGACUUAAGACUCUAACACCUAUAAAAUGCUCACAGAGAAUUGAGUUAAAAAGAGUCAAAAGUGAAUAAACCCCCAGAGUUAUGAGUUAAGCACGAAAAAAACAGAGAAAAUCAAACAACAUGAAUGCUGAGUUCAAAACCACUUGUUAUCCAUUUCUGUGUCUAUCCUACCGUACCCAAGCCCCGUUACAACCGAAAAGACCUCAUAAAGUGUGUGGAAUCUAUUGUUGUAGUGAAAUUAGAAUUUAUUCAAAU